rnacentral:rRNA from 1 species
GAUGAACGCUGGCGGCGUGCCUAAUACAUGCAAGUCGAGCGAACAGAUGAGGAGCUUGCUCCUCUGACGUUAGCGGCGGACGGGUGAGUAACACGUGGAUAACCUACCUAUAAGACUGGGAUAACUUCGGGAAACCGGAGCUAAUACCGGAUAAUAUAUUGAACCGCAUGGUUCAAUAGUGAAAGACGGUUUUGCUGUCACUUAUAGAUGGAUCCGCGCCGCAUUAGCUAGUUGGUAAGGUAACGGCUUACCAAGGCAACGAUGCGUAGCCGACCUGAGAGGGUGAUCGGCCACACUGGAACUGAGACACGGUCCAGACUCCUACGGGAGGCAGCAGUAGGGAAUCUUCUGCAAUGGGCGAAAGCCUGACGGAGCAACGCCGCGUGAGUGAUGAAGGUCUUCGGAUCGUAAAACUCUGUUAUUAGGGAAGAACAAAUGUGUAAGUAACUAUGCACGUCUUGACGGUACCUAAUCAGAAAGCCACGGCUAACUACGUG